AUCGGGAUAUGAUCUGGAAAAUGAUGCAAAUGGGUAAAAACUACACAACCUUUCUCCUUUUUCAUUAUUUAUUUUAGUUAGAAAUUGUUUACUAUGACCAAUGGUGUGCCUAUAUCUUUUAUUAACCCGGACACUUUUAUAAUUGUUACAAUAUUGGUUUCAAUUGCCCUUAUUAAGGGUAAUGGGUACCAAAGUUUCAUAGGAGAAAAGAUCAUUACUUUAACUAAAUAUUCAUACUAUUGGUCUUCGGGCUGAGCAAUUAACCAAAUUGGAACCGAAACCGUACCAAAAACCGCACGAACCGCACCAAUUAAAACUGCACCAACGGUUCCGGCGUAUGUGGCGGUUUUAGGUGGGUUGAAUAACUAAAUUUACGGUUCCGGUUUGGUUACUAGCCAAAACCGCACGCAUAAAACCGAAACCGCAUCAUGUGUGUGAAUGUAUGUAUUAUCUCUAGUAAAUUCUAAAGUUACUUUUCACUUAAACACGCUCAGAGAAAAUCUCAAUCUUGCAUUGUCAUUUUUUCACCAAUUGAAAGAAGAUUGUUAGAGGUUAUAGAGUCAAAAAUUAAGUAAUUGAGUUUUAGAAUUUCGAAUUUGUUUGAUGCGUUAUUGGACGGGCUUAUAGCUGAGGGCCAAAUUCGUUGGUUCAAGCACUUGAUGCAUUGGUUAAGAUCAAUGCUAUAAUAGUAAUAGUCUAAUAGAUUAUUUUUCAAAUUAGGUAUAGUUAGGAUUAUAUUCUAUAAGUCCUCCCUACAAUAUAUAAGAUAGAAUUUCAUUCUAUCGCCAGUAUAUACUUUUAAUUUUUGGAGAACCAGAUAAAUCUUCUGGCUUGUUAUCGAAUAUAUGGUCUCCGUUGUUUUAUAUAGCGUAUGUUUUAGUUUUAAAGCAUCAUUCAUUUAUUAUAAACUAAAACUAUUUUACGUGUCUCACUGUUUUAUGAUUUGAUGGUGAAUUUGACAUAUUUGGCAGAAGAAACUUUGGUUUUAUGUUUGAUAUUAUUCCCAUUGCCGACUUUGUCACUAAGUUAAUUGCUCGAUGCAAGUCCUAUGUUAAAUUUUAUUGAAGGCUUAGAUUUUAUUGUUGUUUCAAUUGGUUUUGGAACCGAAACCGCACCAAUUAAAACCGCACCGCACACUUUAAAACCGCACCGCACCAAUCACAAACGGUUUCGUGUGCGGUUUUGAAAUUUUCAAACCGCACCUAAGCGGUUUCGGGUGCGGUUUCGACUUCAAACCGCACCAUGCUCACCCCUAAAUUUGGUCUUAUCGAUAUCUACUUUUGGCCUAGUGGUAUGACCCAACCAUGUUUACCAUACGGCCGGGGGUUCAAUAAUUGAGUCUGUUUGUGUGGUAGUGUGUGUGUCAAAUUAGCAACAACAAAAAAAUCGCUUAUUCCAGUGUUUCUGGUGUUUUUUUGAUGGACAAAUGGUUCUAGUUAUUUGCUGCGUAAAUCUUGUAAUUUAUAUCAACUUCCAGCUUUGCACACUUUAUAAACAUCUGCUUUAUCUGUUCUCCUUUAAGAGCCUAAUUUUUUUUAAUUUUUUUUUUUUGUAAUUUCAUAGUGGGUAAAAUCUUUGCAGUUUGAAAGCUAACUUAUCAAAGUCAGAGAUACAAAAAAAAUUAGUCACACAGUACUGUGAAAAGUUUAAGCAUCUAUAUUUCACAUUUUAUAAAUGAUUGAUUUAAUUCAUAUUUCUGAUUCAACCAUUUUGCUUCAACUUAUCAUGUUCUGUUUUAAUAUUAAUUGGCAGGCAUGAGGCAACGUUGAUCCAGAAAAUUGUGCAGAAGGUCCUACUAGAAGUAAACCUUGUUUGUUUGCAUAUUGCCAAACAACCAGUAGGAAUAGAAUCUCGUGUAGAAUACGUAACACCAUUGUUGAGCAUUGGUACUAAUGAUAUUCGCAGGAUUGGAAUAUAUGGUAUGGGUGGAAUCGGCAAAACAACCAUCGCCAAAGCUCUCUUUAAUAACAACUUUCAGUACUUUGAAGGUAGCUGCUUUCUUUCAAACGUCAGAGAAGCUUCAGAAGAACGCAAUGGUAUACUUAGUUUACAAGAGCAACUUCUUUCUGACAUUUUAAAAGUAAAGGACAUUCAUGUUGAAAAUGUUGAUAAAGGAAUCAAUUUACUGAAAGAAAGGCUUAGUUCUAAAAAAGUUCUCAUUGUUCUUGAUGAUUUGGACCACUUAAGCCAAUCAGAUCAACUAGCAGGACAACGAGACCAAUUUGCUUUAGGAAGUAGAGUUAUUAUAACAACAAGAGAUGUAGGUUUACUUGAUCAAAUUGAAGUAGAAGAGAGAUAUAAUGUAGUGGAACUGGACAAUGAAGAGUCUUUAGAACUUUUUAGUCAACAUGCCUUUAAAAAACCCGUACCAUCAAAAGAUUUUGAGGAAAUAUCGAAAGACAUUGUACGCCAAGCUGGAGGACUUCCCUUAGCUCGAGGUUCUAGGAUCAUAUUUGUUUAAAAGAACCAUGUUGGAAUGGAGAAGUUCCCUCGUUAAAUUGCAACAAAUUCCGCAACUUCAGAUUCAGAAAAAACUCCUAAUAAGUUAUCAUGCAUUAGGUGAUGGUAACUUAAAGGAUGUUUUCCUUGAUAUUGCAUGUUUUUUUAUCGGAAAGAAUAAAGAAAUGACAAUUAGUAUAUUAGAUUCUUGUGGUUUCAACUCAGAGAAUGCAAUUAUCAUUCUAAUAGAAAGAUGUUUACUAUCCAUUAAUGAUGACAACGAGUUGAGAAUGCAUGAUAUUCUUCGGGACAUGGGGAACAUUGAAUCCUUAAGGGUGCUUAGGGCAGCCUGGACACCAAUUACAAAAUUACCAGAUUCAAUCGGACGUUUGACUAAAUUGUUCGAGUUGAAUUUAUAUUUUUGUAAAAAGCUAAAAAGUAUUCCAAGUAGCAUUUGCAAGUUACCCCUCAGAACGUUGGAUCUGUGCAAUCUCAAUGACAACGAUCCUUUCGAUGGAGUUAUCUUAGAUAAUAUCGGGAGUUUAUCAUCACUAGAAUCAUUGAAUUUAUCAUACAACUUUUUUAGUACCUUGCCAUCCAACCUUAGUCAACUGUCCAAUCUAAAAUCGCUUCAUUUGUAUCAUUGUCUGAAUCUUGGGUCACUCUCAAAACUUCCUCCACAUUUAAAAGACCUAAAUGCAUUGGGAUGUACAUCAAUGGUAAGACUACCAAAUUUGUCAAACUUGAGACACUUAAGGGUGUUGAAUCUUGCAGAUUGCAGUAGAUUGGCUGAGAUUCAAGGCUUGGAAAAUCUGAAUUCUAUUGAAGUAAUUAACUUGGAAGGCUGCAACAAUCUAUCAAUCUCUUUUAAAGAGACGUUCCUUCAGGUUACCCUCUCUCUCUCUCAUCAUAUUUAAUUACCAGAUCCAUCCCAUUUUAGUUGACAAAAUUGACUUUUCAAAGUUACAUUGACCAAUUUUAAAAUCAAAAUAUCACAUUUUCUUUAUAAUUUUUUGACAAAUAGACUAUAAUGUAACAAAUAGACUAUAAUGUACAUAUUUAAUUAUGUAACAGGUAUACUCUGAUUUUGGGAGGCAAAUUGACAUCUACCUACCAACCAAGGAUUUUCCAGAUUGGUUUGGUCAUCAAAUUUUGGGACCAAACCUAUCUACAAUUUGUUUUGAUGUGCCACAAAAUAGUGAAAACAAAUUCUUAGGGAUGAUACUUUGGGUGGUUUCUAGUGAAAGUAUAUAUCUCGGGUCAUAUGCUCGUGUUGAAAAUAAAACAAAUGGUAAUACAUGGCAUAAAGCAGUGCACUAUAGAGCGCGUUCGUGGGUGAGCUUCAUACCAAAAACAAAAAUUGCACUGAAAUUUGGUGACAAAAUUGAGGCUUCCAUAUCUGGUAAUUAUUUCAUAAUGGAGAGAUUUGGUGUUCAUUGUGUAUACAAAACUGACACCAUAGAAAAUUAGUAGAGAUAGGGGCUCUGUUGGCCGUCUGUCAUUUCUUUAGCUUGUUAAAUAUUUUGUUUUUAUGUGAAGGUGGAAGUUUGAAUUUUGAAGCAAAUGGUCAAGUUUGUUGCUUAUCUGUUUUCUUAAAUUCUCCAUCUAAUUUGCUUCCCAUGCACCAACAAUGGUUAGAAAGGUAAAAUUUAAAUGGGAAACUGAUAAAUUCAUAACAGAAAAUCAGGAGCGGACCUAUGCUUGGGCAACAUAGGCACCUGCCUAUGCUUAGUUAUAAUAAUAAUAAUAAUAAUAAUAAACUUAAACGGGACAGAUUAAUGGAAGAGUUAUACUUAGAAGAGUUCCUACAAGACCAAAGGUGGAUAGCAACGAAAAACAUACAGGCAAGAAGAACACCACAAGGAAAACUAUGAGAUCCUUAUCGCUGAUCAAGUUUCGAAAUAUGAUAAACUAAUGUAGAGUUUGUCUUUCCUUGCAAUUUUUAAUAAAGGGUCCAUAAGGCCAAAACUAAUUCAUGUUCACACUUCACAUUACAUUAUACCUUGUAAAUCUUGUGAUAGAACACUUCAAGCAGUCUAAGCUCCACAUUGGGAUGAGAAUAUUCCACCUGUAAAAGGAAGCAAAUACAGUUAAAAAAUAUAAGCUAUUAUAGGCAGUGAAAGACUUGCUAUUGCGGUCUUAGAUUAAGAAAAACUAGUACAAUGCAAAAGUACUUCACGUCUUCACCAUUCUACAAGCUAAUUCUCUUCUAAAAAACCAUUUCUUUACAUAUAGAUAUAUAUAUUAAGUGCAUUCAAUGGAAACAAUAAAUCAAGCUUGUACGUUUUCCCCAAUUGCAGUCUUAGAUUGAGGAAAAGUAGUUAAUUUCUCAUGGAAGUAGGAUUAACAAUGAAUUGAUAAGCUGAAUGGUUGUUAAUUCUAUUUGUUUAGAUUGUCUAUGUUUACCUUUGUCUUAAUUUCACUAAGCACAUCUCCUACAACCCCUGCAUUUUAAUAUUUGCACCCAUUACCCUUCGAUAUGAUGGUAGAAAGUAAGAACAACAUUAAAGCUAAUGGCCAACAAAUAUCUCUCCAUAAACCAAUAACAAGUAUUUCUUAUAAAGGGGCAGAAAAUUUGCGCUGGGCCUUAGAAAAUCCAGGAUCGGCUUUGUUCCCUUCCAAUCAUUUCCUUCUCCUUAACUGCGAGAAGUCCCACAACUCUAUUAGACGAAAUUUCUCAGAACUUAGCUUAGAAAUUCUUUCCUCUCAACUAUAGUUCGAGUAACUAAAUUAAGAGAUAAACAGAUUAAUCGAUGCAAGGAGAGGGACAUUUCCCUCCAAAUCUACGUAGGAGUGGAGCCUACGUGCCACCUCAUCAACCACCUAGUAAAUGUUAGUCUACUCAGCACUUUCGUCCGUUUUUUUGACGAAAAUCAUAAGUAAUGAUCAUUUGGUAAAUUUUUUAGAGUAUAGAUACGCGAUUGUAACAAAAAAAUUUCGGUAACCAUAAUAAGAAUCGAGCACAAGUACAAUGAUCAAAAAGUCUAUUAUCCCAAAAGCACACUUAACCAUGCAACCAUGAGGAACCAUGCGGGUAAAAGCUUUGAAUUAUUGCAACCAUGAGGGACCACAUAAUGACCGACUAUUUGUCGUGUGAACUGUAAAGUAUGAGAAAUUUCUGCGAAACUAGACUAGAAAAUAAGGUAGACUCACAAGUCUUUGCUCUAAAUUUAAUUCCAUUUAUUGACUCGUAUUAAGGUGUUGUCAUUCUGUUCUAUAUAUUGUAAUGAUCUCAUGUUCCUAGUAACACAAAGUUUUUGAUUUCCCCGUUUAUUCCAAUCUUGAUUCCCUUCUAAUCAAUUCCUUCUCCUUAUUUCAAUGGCUUCUACAAGUAACCAAAUUGAUUCAUCAUCUUCUUCAUCUUCAACUCCUCGUUGGAACGUCUUCUUGAGCUUCAGAGGUGAAGAUACACGCAAAACCUUUACUGGUCAUCUAUACUCGGCUCUAGUCCGGGUUGGAAUCCAAACUUUUAUGGAUGAUCCUGAACUACCAAGAGGAGAAGAAAUUUCAGCGCAACUGCUAAAAGCAAUCGAAGAAUCAAAGGUUUCUAUUGUUGUUUUCUCCAAAAAUUAUGCUUCUUCGAAAUGGUGCCUCGAUGAGCUAGUGAAGAUCCUCGAAUGCAAGCGAACAAAGGGACAAUUACUUCUUCCUGUAUUUUAUAAGGUUGAUCCAUCGGUUGUGCGUCAUAAGACUGGAAGCUUUGCGGAAGCUUUUGAAAGUCAUAAAAAGAGAUUUGGGAAUAACAUGGAAAUAGUGGAGAAAUGGGAAGGUGCGCUAACUGAAGCUGCGAAUCUAUCGGGAUAUGAUCUGGAAAAUGAUGCAAAUGGGUAAAAACUACACCACCUUUCUCCUUUUUCAUUAUUUAUUUUAGUUAGAAAUUGUUUACUAUGACCAAUGGUGUGCCUAUAUCUUUUAUUAACCCGGACACUUUUAUAAUUGUUACAAUAUUGGUUUCAAUUGCCCUUAUUAAGGGUAAUGGGUACCAAAGUUUCAUAGGAGAAAAGAUCAUUACUUUAACGAAAU
rnacentral:lncRNA from 1 species